AAAACCUAAUUAUUUUUGGUGGAUUUCAGCUGUAACUCCCCAGCAACACAGACUGACCAGUAAGAGGCAAGAAGGAGCAAUGGGGCUUUGUUGACAGGCAGACCUCGUUACUCCUCCCUGGCACUCAGGCCUUGCUGCUCUUGUCCGUAUGUGAUGAUCCAGAGCAAGACUUGAGGGAAUCCGGGGAAGACUGUAUUGUAAUAUCUUCCAUCUUCUCCUGACGUACCAGAAACUUGAUCAUCUGACUCUGCUCUUCUUCUGCAGCAACUCUCAGUCCUCUGCAACAAGCCUCCGUGUUGAGCUACGGAGAGAGUGGUGUUAUUCCGGGUGGUGUCCACGUGUAUUGAAAGGGGAAUGGAAGCUGUGAUCAAAGCUCGACUGUUCUUUGUCUGCAGACUUUGGGCACAAGUUUCUACAGCUGACCUGCUGAUUUCCCAUCGCAGUUGAACACGCAGAUCUCAGCAAGCCCCAGCGAUACACUGACAGCUGAAUUUGGCCAAGCAUACGCACCUCCUGUUGACAUACAUUGCAAGUUUAAUCUGUGUCCUCCCAUCCUAUGCAGCUGGAAGAUUUAUUGCUGCUAGAGGAGCCUCAGAAGAAGUGUCCUUUUCAUGCAGUUUUACCUUGAAGUUUCAGUAGUGGUUUGAUAAUUCACUGCACGUGCAAUGCACAGUGCACUUAUUUCUUCCUAAC
rnacentral:lncRNA from 1 species